rnacentral:misc_RNA from 1 species
AACGCACAUUGCGCCCUUUGGUAUUCCGAAGGGCAUGCCUGUUUGAGUGUCAUUAACCUCUCACCUCAAUCCUUGUGAUUGAUGUUGGCGUUGGAAUUUGCGUUUGGAUUCUUCAUCCGCUAUUCUUAAAUCAAUUGGUGCAGCCCGCUGCCCGGUUACACAACGUUCUAGGUUCGUCCAACUCGUUGCGAUACUGAGGCUAUCUAUGGCGCGGCACUUGAAGCCUGACUAGUGCCUUAUUGCUCUAUGUCUCAUCUUUUUAUUGACCUCAGAUCAGGUAGGAAUACGCGCUGAACUUAA